GAUUUUAACGAGACCAGUCUCAUACUCGUGAAAAUCGAGAGAGGAGUUUAAAUGGAAAAAGUAAUUAAAAGUUUUUGUUUCUUAUAUCGGCAAGCUUUUAAAUUAUUUAAAGUUGCUGAACAAUUGUUUAUUAAUGUGAAGUCGAAGUUUGGGGUGAUUAGCCUUAUCUCGUAUAAUAUUGUUCAGCAUGAAACAGUCUGAACAGCAAUCCUCGAUUUAGUCAACAAUCUAAAACGUGCUAAGGAGUAGUCAUUCGUCGAUUUACCUGCGGCUUCCAGAUGAUCUGAAGAUCGUGAAUAUAGAAAAUAUUGUCAAUUUGAUAUUGCUAAUGACCCAGUCAUGUCUGCUGAAGCCCAGAAGUUUCCAGACCAUGACAUUAAUGAAUAUUUCUUGAAUGGAAUGCAUGAGGAUUAGAAUGGAACCUUAUUCUGCCUUUUUACCAACUCAUACCAUCUUUUCAAGAUUUAUGGAGCCAACCACAGAAGAAUUUGUUCUAUACACAUCAUUCAUAACAUUCUUAUUUAUGUUGCAUAACUUUAAAUGUUACUGGAUGAAUUGUGUUCACAUAAUGAAUACCAGCAAACUUUUUAUCGAGUGCACUUAAUUUGUAUUUUUCCUACCCAUCCAUCUAACAUAUGUUUUUAUAUAACAUAUUCAUAUACAUGUAACAUUUUUGGAAACAGCCAUUUUUUUUAAAAUUGGAAUUUAGCCUUACUAUUUUAUACAAAUUUUUUUAAUAUACUCUUUUGUAUACAAACAGAACAAAAAUACUUUGUUACAAUGGGAAAUGGACAUAAUAUAUAUAAAAGUGUCUGAUAAAAGUAUAGAUCUUGUUCAUGAACAGAAGAAAUCGACAGAAAAAUAUUCAGUUUCAGCCAUGAAAUACAAAUAUUAAUAUUUUUUAAGAAUAUUAUUUAAUCUAAAUAAGUUAUAAAAGUUUUUUUUUCCCUUUAUUCCAAUGUUUGGAAACAAAUCCAAUAUAUAAUUAAAAUUGCUGUACAGUAUAUCCUAUUGAUACUUUUAAUAUAUCAUUUUAGUUUCUUUAACUGCAUGUUUAUUACUUAUUUUCUUAAAAUGAUGUAUACAAGGUCAUUAAUUUAUUUUCAUUAUAUUCAACUAGAUACAAAUAGGCCUUCUGCAACCUUUUCAUUGUUAAAAUGGUAUGGAGUUUUAAUUACCUUUCAUAUGAAAAAUGACAUCUAAAUCUUAAAUUGCUGUACAUUAUAUCCUAUCCAUCUAAUGUAUCACUUUAUUUAUGUUGAACUAUGUGACUAUUAGUAUUAUGAUUUUUUUUUUUAGAAUGAUAUAUGCAAUUUCAUUAAUUUAUUUUUCAUUUUAAGAAAAUUCAUUUUAAAAAAGAUCUCUUGCGACCUGUGUAUUUUUUUCAGUUUACAUAACACAGUGUAUUAAUUGAAUGUAGUUGUGUAGAUUUAUACAUGUACCUACAAGCAAUAUACAGUUAAUAUUCACCAGGUACAUGUACCAGCCUACUAUAUUUGAUAAAUAAAUGUACUUCUUUCAUGUCAUGCCUUUUUCAUGCCUUUUACUCAUUGUUAUAUGUAUUAUUUAUAAUUAAAAUACUUUGAAAACUUUUUUCAAUUUAUUUAUUUUAAUAAGAUUAAGAAACGGACUAUAGUUAAUGCACGUUUUCAAGAGUUGUCUCUCUUGGGGACAAUAAUGAAUGCUCCCCAGGGUUCAUGACCCUGAAUAUUGAGUAGGCUGUGAGGUGUGACUCUGUCAACAGUCUUUUUAGGGUAUUGAAGGCAUUUUUCUUUUUUCUCUGUCCAUUCAAAAUGUCUGUUCGUUUGGGUCAAUCUUGUCAAAGGGUAAGCAAUUUGCAAGAAAUUGUAUAUUAAUUUAGGAUAAUACAGAGCGAGUCCUACAAAACUUUAAACACCCGAAAUAUUUUCGUGUACUGGCCAUUCGAUUCCUUGAUCGGGAUGUAAUUCUUUGUUCGCAUAGGAUGAAUUUGCAGAGACAGCGUACCUAAAAAUAUGGCAGUUUGUCUAUGAAACAGAAAACAUUUCUUAGGUUUAAGUUUUAAUUUUGUCCAUUUAAAUUGCUCAAAAACUGAUCUUAGAUUCGUUGGAGUUUCUGAAAAUGUUUUCCGUAAACUAUAACAUCGUCGAAAUAGACAAAGCAUCAGAGGGUAGAACAUUGCAGUUUUUUUUCGUAAAGCGGGGAUUAAAAUAAUAGUAAAAAUCACAGGGGCCAA